CACUUAUCAAGAGUGGUGGAGGGACUGGCCCGAUGAAACCCAGCAACCAGUAUCAUAUUUUUAUGGUAUAUUGGUGCUAACUCCUGCGGCGCAAGCUGAGAGAUGAGAG
rnacentral:ncRNA from 2 species